UGGGGAAUCUUGGACAAUGGGCGCAAGCCUGAUCCAGCCAUGCCGCGUGGAUGAUGAAGGCCUUAGGGUUGUAAAAUCCUUUCGUGGGGGACGAUAAUGACGGUACCCCAAGAAGAAGCUCCGGCUAACUUCGUGCCAGCAGCCGCGGUAAUACGAAGGGGGCUAGCGUUGUUCGGAUUUACUGGGCGUAAAGCGCGUGUAGGCGGGUCGUUAAGUUGGGGGUGAAAUCCCGAGGCUCAACCUCGGAACUGCCUUCAAAACUGGCGACCUGGACCCAAGUAGAGGCAAGUGGAAUUGCGAGUGUAGAGGUGAAAUUCGUAGAUAUUCGCAGGAACACCAGUGGCGAAGGCGACUUGCUGGACUUGUGGUGACGCUGAGACGCGAAAGCGUGGGGAGCAAACAGGAUUAGAUACCCAUGUAGUCCCUGAGCGGGCUGGCAAGGCGCAU
rnacentral:rRNA from 1 species